AGAGUUUGAUCCUGGCUCAGGAUGAACGCUAGCGACAGGCUUAACACAUGCAAGUCGAGGGGCAGCAUGAUUUGUAGCAAUACAGAUUGAUGGCGACCGGCGCACGGGUGAGUAACGCGUAUGCAACUUACCUAUCAGAGGGGGAUAGCCCGGCGAAAGUCGGAUUAAUACCCCAUAAAACAGGGGUCCCGCAUGGGAAUAUUUGUUAAAGAUUCAUCGCUGAUAGAUAGGCAUGCGUUCCAUUAGGCAGUUGGCGGGGUAACGGCCCACCAAACCGACGAUGGAUAGGGGUUCUGAGAGGAAGGUCCCCCACAUUGGUACUGAGACACGGACCAAACUCCUACGGGAGGCAGCAGUGAGGAAUAUUGGUCAAUGGCCGAGAGGCUGAACCAGCCAAGUCGCGUGAAGGAAGAAGGAUCUAUGGUUUGUAAACUUCUUUUAUAGGGGAAUAAAGUGGAGGACGUGUCCUUUUUUGUAUGUACCCUAUGAAUAAGCAUCGGCUAACUCCGUGCCAGCAGCCGCGGUAAUACGGAGGAUGCGAGCGUUAUCCGGAUUUAUUGGGUUUAAAGGGUGCGUAGGUGGUGAUUUAAGUCAGCGGUGAAAGUUUGUGGCUCAACCAUAAAAUUGCCGUUGAAACUGGGUUACUUGAGUGUGUUUGAGGUAGGCGGAAUGCGUGGUGUAGCGGUGAAAUGCAUAGAUAUCACGCAGAACUCCGAUUGCGAAGGCAGCUUACUAAACCAUAACUGACACUGAAGCACGAAAGCGUGGGGAUCAAACAGGAUUAGAUACCCUGGUAGUCCACGCAGUAAACGAUGAUUACUAGGAGUUUGCGAUACAAUGUAAGCUCUACAGCGAAAGCGUUAAGUAAUCCACCUGGGGAGUACGCCGGCAACGGUGAAACUCAAAGGAAUUGACGGGGGCCCGCACAAGCGGAGGAACAUGUG
rnacentral:rRNA from 1 species